rnacentral:lncRNA from 1 species
UUUUUUUUUUUUUUUUUUUUUUUUUUUUAGGAAAUCAAACUCUAUCUCAAGCUUCUAAUUUGAACAACAACGAAAAGAAAUUUGCAUUCAGCUAAGGUCCCAGGGUUAAUCAACAGAAGAUAAGUUGCAAGUCUAGAGGAUUUUUAAAUUAGUAUAUAUUAGUUAAAUCUCCUAUUUAUCAGUGAACCACUAAGCCAUCAAGCAGAGGCCUCUUGUACCAGGAGUGUAUUGUUUCAACAGGACUUACAUUGCUCCCCACAAAAUUUGACUAAACUGAUCUAGGUAUCAAAUUCCUAUAUAUUCUGGGGGGAAAAAGAAGGUGGCAAUAAGCUUCCAGGUGUUCAAAAAUGACUUCCACCUAGGACAGUGUAGAAAGCAGCAGAACUGAUCUCAAUGCAGGCCCUCACCUGCUCCCUAGGACAUAUGAGAAGACCAGAGUGGGGAGUAUAUUUUCCUUCUGGAACAUACAAUGUUCAGCAGGUUCCCCCAGCGAGGUGUACUUCCACUCUCUGGUGCAAAUUUUAGGGGGUAUUAUAGGAAAAUAGCUUAAAAACUGGGGCAAAUACAAGAGAGGAACAUUUGUUUCCUCAAAUGGAAAUCUUCCCAGGCAGAGGGUUUGCUAGUCUGUCUUAUGACUAAGUUAACAUGGAAAAGAAAACUCAAGAGGAUUGGCCAAACAUCGAGAAGUGGUAGCAUUAUGAAAGUAUCUGUCCCCACUGUUUAAUAGAGCAAGGAGACAAGAGUUUAAGGAACAAAAGAACACAGAAAGCAGCUCUAGGACCAUUUGUAUGUAUCUAUCCAUGGGGACCACCUACAAAGUAAAAGGACCUUUAUUAGCAUAAGGCUGUGUGAUACAAAUGUCUAUGAGAACAUGCUCUUGGGAUGUUAUCAAUGCCACUGGCCAAAUAUAUGACUUCUGCUUCCAAGUACAUGACGGGAUUACCCUUAAAUGCUACAUGGAUGGAACUGGAGGGUAUUAUGCAGAGUGAAAUAAGUCAAUUGGAGAAGGACAAACAUUAUAUGGUCUCAUUCAUUUGGGGAAUAUAAAGAAUAGUGAAAGGGAAUAAAGGGGAAAGGAGAAAAAAUAAGUGGGAAAUAUCAGAAAGGGAAACAGAACAUGAAAGACUCCUAACUCUGGGAAACGAACUAGGGGUGGUGGAAGGAGAGGUGGGCGGGGGGUGGGGUUGACUGGAUGAUAGGCACUGAGGUGGGUACUUGAUGGGAUGAGCACUGGGUGUUAUUCUAUAUGUUGACAAAUUGAACACCAAUAAAAAAUAAAUUUAUUUUAAAAAAUGCUCCCAUGUAAGUGGAGUCUGGCCAUGUGACUUUCUUGCUAAAAAAAAAAAAAAAAAGAAAAAGAAAAAAAAAACAAGAGUGUCUCAUCUAAGAUGCCUUGAGUUGCUAAUGCAGGCUCUGCAGCAUAACAGUUAUGAAAGCAUGGAAAUGGAGUCUUCAUCAGCCUGCUGUCCUAAGGACAAGAUCAGAGCUACUACCAACCCAUGAGAGAUGUGCAGCAUGAGGGAAAAAUAAGCAUUCACUAUUUUAAGACAAAAAGCAUGACUAUUUGUUACCACAGCAUGAACUAACUCAUCCUGACUGAUAAAAAGGGGAGAGGAACAAAAGGGAGGGAUCUAGAGUCAAACUAUCACAUCAGGGAGUCAUGUAAUAGGCAGGUCCUUGCCUAGCCCUCCAGAAGAGGCCACCUUGACACUGACCUUGGGAGGAAGAGGGCUAAGUCAUCAAUUAUAUAUUCAGCACAACACUGGCUCCUUAAGCCACAAGUCUAUACUAUGCAAGUAAAGAGAAAAAGAUUUUCCAAAUUGGAUAUGAGAUGGAAGUUUCAACAUCCACUGGACUUGGUUUUAAAACCAAAAAUGAUGGCAAACUAUAGAAUCCCCCUGAGAUGGUAGUAAGGGAAAGCAGCAAUUAAAAAUAAACAAAAUUGUCUCAUGUUUAUUUCCCAAACUGAAAUUCCUCAAUAAGCUGGUUGCUCAUACAUGUUUGAUAAACAAGGACAUGUGUUUAUGACUGGUCUCAGAAAACUGCAGCUGUUCACAUUUGCUCUCCUUAAAAAACACACAGGCACAUGCGCACGUGUACACACACACAUAUUACUGAAAUAAUUCAUAAAAGACAAUCAAUACUGCCCCAAGACAAUCAGUCCUCAUCAGCCCUAUCAACCACAGUACGUUAAUCCUAUUAUGUGGGCUUCCUGCUUCUUGCAGAGAUGAAGUUGUUUUUCUCUGCACAAAGAAGGUACACCCUACAGCGAAAGUGAAAAGAUUAGGAUAUCUGAAAAUAAUGUGUCUCAGAGAAGUAGAUUAGGACUCAACUAUUACCAUGAGAGGGGUGUACAGUGAAGUGCCAAAAUGUGGACCAUGGGCACAACAGGGAGGUGAUUCGUUAACAUGUAAAGGUUCUCCAACUUCCCACUCCGUUUUACCUACCCCCUACCCUCUAAAGAACAAUUGUGUCUUUUCUCAGCCUAGGAGUCAGGAGGGUAGCAAAGUACCUGAGAAGGCAGAGGACACCGCAGAAGUUUUAGCCAGGAAAGACUUGGUCAAACUAUAAAAUAAACUGCUGGGAGAAGAGGAAGGAAAAGGAGAGUUUUAUGGGAUUGUCAUAUAAAAGACUCCUGAGUAACAAAGGGACCAAAAGAAUGAGGAAGAGGAGACCAUCGUUUUUGAGAACUGUAGUUGUGCAUUAUGAAUCAGGUCUUCUUUAACAUACAUUGAAAGAUAGAAGGGAAAACUGGAAUUCCUUUUGAAACACUUUGGAUGUUGGACUAGACUGUGCAUCCUGAAUGGAAAUGCAAACAAAGCUUUGGUUGUGUGGGACCCUGGGAUUUAUUUGAGCAACCAAUAAUUCUGCAGAAACUCCUAUUUAACUGUUUAUCCAAGUAGAGCACCAGCUCCUUAGGGCCAAGAUUUAGUUUUGAAUUUCCACAUUCCUUAGUCUGGCACCAUGCCUAGCACAAAAGUAUUCAAUAAUUAAGAUGAUCUAGUCUCUCUCAAACUCCAAACUUUACGUGACCAAAAUAACACGAAAAAAGUGAUUCUUAACCUGCUCCCCUUAUCCCUAUAACAACUGAGUUUCUUGCCUAUGUACCAACAUCUGUUAUCUCUGCAGAGGCUCAGCUACCCUGCAGGUCAGUUCUAUGUGUUCUGAAAACACCUCACAUAAAUACUAACCCUGGGGACGCCUGGGUGGCUCAGCUGUUGGGCAUCUGCCUUUGGCUCAGGGCGUGGUCCUGGGGUCUUGGAAUUGAGUCCCAUAUCAGGCUCCCUGUGUGGAGCCUGCUUCUCCCUAUGCCUAUGUCUCUGCCUCUCUGUCUCUCUCUGUCUCUCAUGAAUAAAUAAAAUAUUUUUUAAAAAAUAAAUAAAUACUAACUCUGUGUAGGGAAGAAAAAAGUCCCUGAAAAAAACCACUGUAGAAGGUAUGUUUGGGUAAUAGUAGUAGACAAAUACAAACAGAGCAGCAAAGUCAGCUACAGGUUUAUAUAAACUUCACAAAGGAAGAGGUCUUCCAGAAUUAUGGAAAGGAGAGCAGAGGUGUAAUCACAGAGGUUUUCUUUUCUUUCCUCCCUGCCUCCUCAAGUAUGCCCAAGAACUCAGUGGACCUUUUGACAUUAACUCAAGGCUAGAAAGGUCUUAGCUUAGCUUAGCAGCUUGGCUUAGCAUUGCAUAGGAGUUAUGUUGGCAGCAAGUUAAUCCUCCAGGUAAUAAAGGUCUUUCAGACCCUACAAAAAAGAAGACCUUUUCUCCAUACCUCCACACAUGCCUAACAUCCAACCUUCCCAGGAAUGAGACCAAACAGGGCAGAGACAGCAACCCAUGCUGGAUGUAAGGGACAGUAAUUGGUGAGGCUUGAGGAUAGAUGCAGUGUAAAGGGGGGGGGGGGGAGAAGAAGAGUGGUUUUUACAGGGGAGAGGGACACAGUAAAAAUGCCCAAGGACAUUUCCACGGAAUAGGGUACAUUGUACACCCCAUACUCCUGAGCUAAGUGUUCAUAUCCAUGAACAGAAGAUAGAGAAAUACCCAAACAGUCAUGAUACAUUACUCUUCCCAUCUCCACUAACAUAUGAACUCAGUGUGGACUCAUAUCUACUCAAAUCAGAAGCAAAGGCUUCAAAGGAUAUCCAUUAGGAAGCUGAGUGGACUGAACCACUUUCUUCUGGGCUGUGCCCCUUUCCAUUUGCAAGUAAGAGUGCUACAAUGACACAGAGUAAGAGAAAAGGCUCCCAGUACAACCUUAAAUAUGUACUGCACAUUCGGCAGCCUCGGAAAGACCAGAAUCCAUCAGCCUAAGGUCCUGGAAGGCAGGAACUCACAAUCCAGAUGCACCUCUAAUAGACAAAACAAGAACUCAACCUGAGGAAUGCGUAACCCAGUAUAGAGCCAUGGAGUGGCUCUGGCUGUCAGUGCUACAGAAUUCAGAGGAGCAGAUCAUUAAAAUUUGCUGAACAGUAUACAAAAAAGAAAAGAGUUGUGAACAGAGAUCAUUUUGUUGGAAAUAAUGGCUACUACUCGGGAUGCGUGGUGAAACAAGAUCCAAGGGAGAGUAACCAGGCCAUCCAUCUGGAGAUUGCCACUUCUUUUAGGGAAGAGAAAUAUUUUUAAACUGAAUUUUCCCACUCCUCAGGGAAACAAAAUCAAAUAGCCUCUCUGAUUCACAGUGCAGCCAAUUU